AUGGAGCAAGGUCGUGGGGCUGCCGUCGCUGCGCACGGAGAUGUGGUCGAGGGCGCGGAGACCGCCACAGAUGCCGUCCAAGAAGUUGCCGCCGUCGGCUGUGCGGGAGAUGCUGCACCCGCAGUCGCUGGAUCGGUCCCUGCGGCGGCGGAUCUGGUGGCGCAGGGGGUGGUGGGCUCGGACUCCGUCGUGGCAGACUUGGUGGUGACGGCGUCUGGCGGCUCACUGGAUGUAGGUGCGGAGGCGAGCGGAAGGCAGGUGGUGGAUGUGGUCAAUGAGGAAGGUGCUAGCAACAAGAGGAAGCUGGACAUCGCUGGGUUCGACGACCCGUCUGAUUCUGACGACGACUUGGAGUACAACUCUGGAGAUGAGGUGGAAGAGUGGAACCACAGGUCCUUCAUUGAGCAUGAAGCCAACAAGAUCAGGGAGAAGGGGAAGGCGGCGUACUACAAGUGGGGCAAGUUCAGGUGCCCAUACUGCACCACUAAGCCAAUUCCCAAGGAUGGGGUGUAUGAGCACCUUAUGGCACAUGCACGCGGUUUAACCAGGAGUGGGAGCGACGUGAAGAUCAGGGCAGAGCAUGCAGCCCUCCUGAAGGCUAUGGGUCCCAUCUAG
rnacentral:rRNA from 1 species